UUCAGUUUCUUUUUUUUACCAACGGCAUUUUUACACGAAUAGCACAAGGAAUAGCAACAGGAAUAGCACAAGACGGCUUAAUUUAAUUAAAUUUGUCACCUGUAUAGCACGUCAAACAACACGACAAACACAGAAUCGCCGUGCGCGCUUUCUUCGCCGGCUGUGGGAUUUGCUUCAUGACCGCGUGUAUUGCAGCUCUCCUAAUGCCAGAAGGAUCUUUUGGAUAGUGUUUGUGGAAACACUGCAACAGUGUGAAUAUUAUAUUAAUUAGACUUCUGUGUGUUGAGUGCUUUAAUAAUGAAACCAAGUACUUAUUAAACUGAAUUAUUUAUUAAUUUAUUGACAAACAAAUACCAUUUUAUACUUGUGUGUAAAUAAGAUGUUAAUUAUUAAGAUACAGUAAGAUAUUAUAAUAAUAAAUUAUAUAUUUAUUUUCUACA
rnacentral:lncRNA from 1 species